rnacentral:rRNA from 1 species
GACGAACGCUGGCGGCGUGCCUAAUACAUGCAAGUAGAACGCUGAAGGAGGAGCUUGCUUCUCUGGAUGAGUUGCGAACGGGUGAGUAACGCGUAGGUAACCUGCCUGGUAGCGGGGGAUAACUAUUGGAAACGAUAGCUAAUACCGCAUAGUAGUAGAUGUUGCAUGACAUUUGCUUAAAAGGUGCAAUUGCAUCACUACCAGAUGGACCUGCGUUGUAUUAGCUAGUUGGUGGGGUAACGGCUCACCAAGGCGACGAUACAUAGCCGACCUGAGAGGGGGAUCGGCCACACUGGGACUGAGACACGGCCCAGACUCCUACGGGAGGCAGCAGUAGGGAAUCUUCGGCAAUGGACGGAAGUCUGACCGAGCAACGCCGCGUGAGUGAAGAAGGUUGUCGGAUCGUAAAGCUCUGUUGUAAGAGAAGAACGAGUGUGAGAGUGGAAAGUUCACACUGUGACGGUAUCUUACCAGAAAGGGACGGCUAACUACGUG